GAUGAAGAACGCAGCGAAAUGCGAUAAGUAAUGUGAAUUGCAGAAUUCCGUGAAUCAUCGAAUCUUUGAACGCACAUUGCGCCCCCUGGUAUUCCGGGGGGCAUGCCUGUCCGAGCGUCAUUGCAACCUUCAAGCGCGGCUUGUGUGUUGGGUCUCGUCCCCCGUGGACGGGCCCGAAAGGCAGUGGCGGCGUCCCGACAUGGUGCCCGAGCGUAUGGGAAUCCUCUUCCGCUCGAAUCGGCCCAUGCGGCGCUGGUCGUAACCAAAUUUUUUACCGGUUGACCUCGGAUCAGGUAGGGAUACCCGCUGAACUUAAGCAUAUCAAUAAGCGGAGAA
rnacentral:misc_RNA from 1 species